CCUACGGGCGGCAGCAGUGGGGAAUAUUGGACAAUGGGGGCAACCCUGAUCCAGCCAUGUCGCGUGUGUGAAGAAGGCCCUCGGGUUGUAAAGCACUUUCAGUGAGGAAGAACGCCUGGUGGUGAAUACCCAUCAGGAAAGACAUCACUCACAGAAGAAGCACCGGCUAACUCCGUGCCAGCAGCCGCGGUAAUACGGAGGGUGCGAGCGUUAAUCGGAAUUACUGGGCGUAAAGCGCGCGUAGGUGGCUUGAUAAGCCGGUUGUGAAAGCCCCGGGCUCAACCUGGGAACGGCAUCCGGAACUGUCAAGCUAGAGUGCAGGAGAGGAAGGUAGAAUUCCCGGUGUAGCGGUGAAAUGCGUAGAGAUCGGGAGGAAUACCAGUGGCGAAGGCGGCCUUCUGGACUGACACUGACACUGAGGUGCGAAAGCGUGGGUAGCAAACAGGAUUAGAUACCCCAGUAGUC
rnacentral:rRNA from 1 species